rnacentral:rRNA from 1 species
AUUGAACGCUGGCGGCAGGCCUAACACAUGCAAGUCGAGCGCGCGGCGGACGGGUGAGUCUAGUCUGUGAAACUGCCUGAUGGAGAGGGAUAACUACUGGAAAAGGUAUCGCCAAUAGCAUACCAUAAGGUGUGAACAGGUGGGAUUAGAUAGUAGGUGGGGGAACGGGUCACCUAGGAGACGAUCCCUAGCUGGUCUGAGAGGAUGACCAGCCACACUGGAACGGAGACACGGACCAGACUCCGACGGGAGGCAGCAGUGGGGAAUAGUGCACAAUGGGCGCAAGCCGGAUGCAGCCAUUCCGCGUGUGUGAAGAAGGCCUUCGGGUUGUAAAGCACUUUCAGCGGGGAGGCGUUACCCGCAGAAGAAGCACCGGCUAACUCCGUGCCAGCAGCCGCGGUAAUAC